rnacentral:misc_RNA from 1 species
AGAAGAAAUUAAUGAUGACAAGCUAUACAAGUCAGCGUUUCGAUUAGUUAAUAGAAAUCAUGAGAUAUUUUUAUUACUGAUUGAUUGAUAUAGCAAGAGGAGAAUUGAAGGAACAUGGUCGGGUACUAUGACAAGUAUAUGUGCAUGAGAGGGAGAUUUAAUCAGAAAGUUUGGUGCAAGAGAGCAUGCAAAUGCCUGAGAAUGUUUGUGAUGUAUCAACAGAAGGGAGUCAGACAAUUACAAAUCUCCAAACUUUGAUUUCUCUCGCUCUAUAAAUUCAAUUCAAUUCAAUUUCUGUUAUUGCUUCAAUCCCUUCAGAUUUAGAGAGCUAAGUAUAAUGGAGAAAGCACACACUAAAUCUUCCCUCAAGGUUGCCUUCUCGUGUGCUAUAUGCUAUGUUUAAGAGUUACGACACAGUCACUUGAUUAGUGAGAAUAUCGAUGUCCUUAAUUUUUCAGUUAAAUGAAAGUGUAAAACAAUAAUAUAGUUUGACAUGGCAGAAUUUGGUUAGAUAUCUUAUUGGAAACUUCAUAUAUUGUUGAAAGCUACGCUUGGUCAUGGGAAAGAAUAUGGGAAAAUAAACUUUAUGGUUGUUGCUCUUUUCCAUCUUAUCUUUGGCAAAAUUGUUUUCUAUGGAUAUGCUGAUAUGGGUAUGAGAAUCUCUCUAAAUGUAAAUGUGUGUAGGUGUAUGGGUACAAUGUUCUUAUUAAUAUUUUAAAAUGUCUUGCUUGCCUUGCAUUUUACAUAUUAAAAAUAAAUCAAGAAUUUAAACCAUAACAUUUUUCUUAGCUUACAUUAUUAGCAUUUCCACAUCCUAGCACAAGCGUAUGUUAUUGCUUUAAGGCUAAUAUAGCUGGCAAUAUUUGUCGCAGGCAAAAGAUGAAGCCAAGGAGAGACUCUAUGACAAAUCCAAGGUAAAUUUUCUACUAGACCUUAACUCUUUCUCUCUCUCUCUCAAUUGAGAGGCUUUGUGAUUCACAUAUACAGGCAACCCCAAAGACUACAGCCAAGGAAAAUACUAGGCCCCAAGAAUUCAAACUCCACACAGAGCAAAGAGCAUACAAACGUGCAAUGUUCAAUUAUUCUGUGAGUAAAAUGAGUGGCUUUUUCAUCCCAUAAGAUUCCUGAUGAUCACUUUUCGAUCUUUUAAGAAUUUUCGAUAUGAAAAAAUGAAAACAAAAAUCUUACAUUUUAAUAUUUAUUUUGGGUUCUCAAACUUGCAGGUCGCCACCAAGCUAUACCUCAUGGAGCUACAAAAGAAACAAAUAGAGAAGGUCCAAAAGAUCAUGGAAGAAGAGGAGAUUCGCAUGCUGAGAAAGGAAAUGAUUCCAAGAGCCCAGUUGAUGCCUUUCUUUGAUAGACCUUUCUUCCCACAAAGAUCAAACAGACCCUUGACAAUACCAAGAGAGCCAAGUUUCCGCAUGUUGAACAGCAAGUGUUGGAGCUGCAACUCAGGGAAUGAACUCUACCAUUUUGAACAUGCACAAGCUUGGAACUACUAAACGAACCACAUUUCCUAGGGAAAAUUUGUAAAAUAUAUGUAAUAUACUUGGCGGGUGUUUCUGUACAACAGCAUAUUCUAGUCAUAGAUAACUUUCACUUCUUCUCUGAUAAGUCAUGAGUGUGUUGAUAGUACUGUAGCAACAUUUAAGAUCUCUUUUAGGAAGUGUGAAUGUGAUUAUAUAUAGCCAUGACCCCUCCUUUCAAUGGGUUCUUUUUACACACUAAUAAUGUGAAUGCUUUUUUGUACUACUUUUUGUUUCAUCAAUGAGUAAAUAUUAUGCCUUUUU